GUGAGAAUCUGCCUUGGGGUCGGGGACAACCACUGGAAACGGUGGCUAAUACCGGAUAAGCCUUUGGGUAAAAGAUUUAUUGCCCCAAGAGGAGCUCGCGUCUGAUUAGCUAGUUGGUGAGGUAAAAGCUCACCACGGCAGCGAUCAGUAGCUGGUCUGAGAGGACGAUCAGCCACACUGGGACUGAGACACGGCCCAGACUCCUACGGGAGGCAGCAGUGGGGAAUUUUCCGCAAUGGGCGAAAGCCUGACGGAGCAAGACCGCGUGAGGGAGGAAGGCUCUUGGGUUGUAAACCUCUUUUCUCAGGGAAGAAGCUCUGACGGUACCUGAGGAAUCAGCCUCGGCUAACUCCGUGCCAGCAGCCGCGGUAAUACGGAGGAGGCAAGCGUUAUCCGGAAUUAUUGGGCGUAAAGCGUCCGCAGGUGGCGAUUCAAGUCUGCUGUCAAAGCACGGGGCUUAACUCCGUUAAGGCAGUGGAAACUGAAUAGCUAGAGUGCCGUAGGGGUAGAGGGAAUUCCCGGUGUAGCGGUGAAAUGCGUAGAGAUCGGGAAGAACAUCGGUGGCGAAAGCGCUCUACUGGACGGCAACUGACACUCAGGGACGAAAGCUAGGGGAGCGAAUGGGAUUAGAUACCCCAGUAGUCCUAGCUGUAAACGAUGGAUACUAGGUGUAGCUUGUAUCGACCCGAGCUGUGCCGAAGCUAACGCGUUAAGUAUCCCGCCUGGGGAGUACGCACGCAAGUGUGAAACUCAAAGGAAUUGACGGGGGUCCGCACAAGCGGUGGAGUAUGUGGUUUAAUUCGAUGCAACGCGAAGAUCCUUACCAGGGCUUGACAUGUCCGGAAUCCCGGUGAAAGCUGGGAGUGCCUUCGGGAGCCGGAACACAGGUGGUGCAUGGCUGUCGUCAGCUCUUGUCGUGAGAUGUUGGGUUAAGUCCCGCAACGAGCGCAACCCUCGUCUUUAGUUGCCAGCAUUAAGUUGGGCACUCUAGAGAGACUGCCGGUGACAAACCGGGGGAAGGUGGGGAUGACGUCAAGUCAGCAUGCUCCUUACGCUCUGGGCGACACACGUACUACAAUGGUCGGGACAGAGGGCAGCGAACCUGCGAAGGCAAGCUAAUCCCAGCAAACUCGGCCUCAGUUCAG
rnacentral:rRNA from 1 species